CGCAAUCGCAGGUGCGUCUGUGCAGCAAACCUAGCUCAACCAGGGGUUAUAGUCUGGAGUGCACAAAAAAAAAAUGGCUUCAGUACCACCCCUUAAAUGAAGAUGGGAAAAAAAGACAGAUUUGUUUCACUCCUGAUUUCCGACUAAUGUUAGCUUUCGGAUCAUGUUACCGUCAACCUCAGCGCCUAAAGGCUAAAGCCCAACAACCAGGGACAGUCGGGACACUGACGAAAGGUGACCAACACUGCCAGCUUGGAAUCUCUGGUGGUGCUGAAUCAGGAGAUGCAACAAUGGAAAGGAAAGCGAAAGAUUGGCUCAAAUGUAAAAGAACACAAUGGACCCAAUAAGCAAUGGGAAAACAGAGUACCAUGUACACCUGGAGUGGCGGACUGCUCGCUCCCCCGGAAGGAAAGUCGGCCGGCAGCAUACACACCGGAAAGAAGCCCUGCUCACCCCGCAGCUAUAACACGCUGGGGACAGGCUAAACAAGGUGAAAAUAGGCAUAUGAUAAGCCAGCUGCUCUAGUAGUGCCAACAGUACCAGAGCUCAGGAAGGUGCAUGAAUGACAGCCACAGAAAACUGUCAAGAGCUCGGUCAACCAGUUUGGAGAUUCCUUGAUCAGAAAUGUUAUUUCCCCGGAGGCUGCAAGAUGUAAACGUACGAUUGGUUACACAACAUAAGCAAUAUAAACAAAAAGAACUGCAAGAAUCAAUAUAACUCCAUUUUAAUACAUUUGUUCCACUGUACAUUUUUUGACUGAAAAUUAUAGUAAUUAUAGUAAUUAAUAUUAGUAAUUACUAAUUAUAGUAAUGAUGUUCAAUCCACUGGUAGGAUAACUUAAAUCUAAUAUUGUUUUUCAAAAUGGUCACAUCAAGCAAGGUUGCUGGAAUAAGACUGAUCGAAGGUUUGACUGCUAAAUUGUCAGCAUCUUCAGGUAACAACUCAAAUUCUCUGCAGCCACAAGUAUCCAUGCUCAAGAAUGUUGUCCAUAUGGGAUGAAUAUCCCCAAAACAUAUUACUAAAAUAAAUUUGUUAUUUGAUUCUGUU